CGCUGCAGCUGGUUGGAAAAUUGUGCGCCGGCACACUGCUUCAACUUACGAUCAGCUGCAGCCGUUGGACAGUUGGAACGAGACGGUCUCGCCGAGGUUAGAUUCCGUGUGGCUCGCGUCGACAGAAGCGUGUUAAAAAGACGUCAGGCGGAAAAUACCCCGGGAAGAUCCUUCGGAAGCAAAUUGGCUGGCAGUCCGCAUUAUCAGUCCCAGCAAAGACCCCUUUCGGAAGGGGUCUUUUUUGGAUAUUAUCUUGCAGCAUUUUGGCGUUCUGUUAGCCGGUCAGGAUCAUCGAGUCAGGUUCGGCGGAAGUUUGCAGCACCACAAACAGAGGCGGCUGCGUAUCUCCCACGUGUGCUAGGUUCACGAUCGACGAGCGAACCGAUCGGAGGAAAGCAAUAGGUUUGAAAGGCUGCUAAUCGGCGCAAACGUCGAGCAGGAACGCGAACUUGGCACCGGAACGCGAACGACGUACAGGAACGUAAACGUCGUGCUGCAAAGAGAACGACGUGCAGGAACGUGGGAAAUAGGAAAAUGGCGGAAUAGUGAGUAGUAAAAUGUAAGAAGAGUGCAUUAGGAAGAAGAGAAAAGACAUGAGAAGUGGUUGGGGUGUAAGCAUGGUGGAAGAGAGGAAGUAAGAAGAAAGAAGCCAUGGUAGAGGCAUAGUAGA